rnacentral:rRNA from 1 species
UGGGGAAUAUUGGACAAUGGGCGCAAGCCUGAUCCAGCCAUGCCGCGUGAGUGAUGAAGGCCUUAGGGUUGUAAAGCUCUUUCGCCGACGAAGAUAAUGACGGUAGUCGGAGAAGAAGCCCCGGCUAACUUCGUGCCAGCAGCCGCGGUAAUACGAAGGGGGCUAGCGUUGUUCGGAAUCACUGGGCGUAAAGCGCACGUAGGCGGAUUGUUAAGUCAGGGGUGAAAGCCUGGAGCUCAACUCCAGAACUGCCCUUGAUACUGGCAAUCUCGAGUCCGGAAGAGGUAAGUGGAACUGCGAGUGUAGAGGUGAAAUUCGUAGAUAUUCGCAAGAACACCAGUGGCGAAGGCGGCUUACUGGUCCGGUACUGACGCUGAGGUGCGAAAAGCGUGGGGAGCAAACAGGAUUAGAUACCCUGGUAGUCCACGCCGUAAACGAUGGAGGCUAGCCGUUGGCGAGCAUGCUCGUCAGUGGCGCAGCUAACGCAUUAAGCCUCCCGCCUGGGGAGUACGGUCGCAAGAUUAAAACUUAAAUGAAUUGACGGGGUCAUAGCUGUUUCCU